rnacentral:lncRNA from 1 species
CAUUCUUUGUAACAGAAAAUGGCAUUUACCUAUGGAGCAACAACUAAUCGACAGGAUUUGAUGAAUAUUGGCUUAGUUCGUACGGAUUGGACAAGGAGUUGGAUGUAUAUUAUUAGGCCCAUUGGUAUCAAGGUUUCAACUUUUUAGGGUCGGAUAUGUAUUUGGAGAUAUUUAUAUAUUUGCAUAUUAUGCGAGGGCUUCCAACCUGCUGCUUGAAGCCGUAUUCUCCGUAGUUCAUUUACUCGUGUCUUUUAUUAUUCUUUGAUUCAGCUCUUACUGCUUGUCGGUUGUAUCUGUUGCAUCAGGUUUGUCCAAUCGUAAUAUAGCCUUUGGUUGCUCCAACAGCCAGAGGUUCUGGUUGGCGAAAAGUUGCUCCAGAGCCUUUAUGUCCGCGCGUAGCUCUUCUAUUAGCAAUACGAAAGGCUGCGCUGGUCGUUCGUUGCCUGAGCCCAUGUCAGGCGGCAGGCAGGCACAUGGACAGUAGUAGCCUCGUAGUAUCAAGGGCGAGCUGUCCGCUGCAGGUACUUCCGGCGAAGACUAGGGGGGCGUUUGGAUCUAGCAAAACUCACCUGCAAAGAUACCGAUUAUUUUGGUCGUAGUCGUGACCUUACUGUAAAUAAUUCUUACGC